GACGAACGCUGGCGGCGUGCUUAACACAUGCAAGUCGAACGGAAAGGCCCUGCUUUUGUGGGGUGCUCGAGUGGCGAACGGGUGAGUAACACGUGAGUAACCUGCCCUUGACUUUGGGAUAACUUCAGGAAACUGGGGCUAAUACCGUAUAGGAGCUCCUGCUGCAUGGUGGGGGUUGGAAAGUUUCGGCGGUUGGGGAUGGACUCGCGGCUUAUCAGCUUGUUGGUGGGGUAGUGGCUUACCAAGGCUUUGACGGGUAGCCGGCCUGAGAGGGUGACCGGCCACAUUGGGACUGAGAUACGGCCCAGACUCCUACGGGAGGCAGCAGCGGGGAAUAUUGCACAAUGGGCGGAAGCCUGAGGCAGCAACGCCGCGUGCGGGAUGACGGCCUUCGGGUUGUAAACCGCUUUCGCCUGUGACGAAGCGUGAGUGACGGUAAUGGGUAAAGAAGCACCGGCUAACUACGUG
rnacentral:rRNA from 1 species